rnacentral:rRNA from 1 species
UACAGAGGGGGCAAGCGUUGUUCGGAAUUACUGGGCGUAAAGGGCGCGUAGGCGGCCUGGCAAGUGGAAGGUGAAAUCCCUCGGCUUAACCGAGGAACUGCCCUCCAAACUGCUUGGCUUGAGUCCGGGAGAGGUGAGUGGAAUUCCCAGUGUAGCGGUGAAAUGCGUAGAUAUUGGGAGGAACACCAGUGGCGAAGGCGGCUCACUGGACCGGAACUGACGCUGAGGCGCGAAAGCGUGGGGAGCAAACGGG